rnacentral:tRNA from 1 species
GCAGGGGUAAGCUAAACGUCUAAUAAGCUUUUGGGCUCAUGACCCAAAUAUGGAACAAAUUCAACCCCCCUGUA